UUGGUCUGGGGGAAAGACACACUGAGCUCUGACUUUGCCCAGAGCGUGCUGAGCUGCGUGGGCUAUGCUGUGAAAGGGAGGUCCUGGGGAGGCCACAAAGCAGGAGGACCAUGGUUCUGGGGGACAACAUUAACUUGCUCAGGAGACUUUGAGCUCAUUUGUGUGCCUAAACCUGGCAACUGACAGCAGGAACUCUGAAAGAGCUGGAGCACUCUGCUUGAGAAUGGGAUGGUUCAGAGACAAGUGCUCAAAUGAAGCCUUAAAUCCUUGACCUACAAAAAUCUGCAAAGAAUCUCCACAUGUGAAACAGGAGCCUUGAAUGAAGGGCAUUUUUCAUGUGGAAGGAGAGAGCUCCUGGUGCUGCUGCCAGGUGCUCUUGCCCUGAUCCUGUUCCAUCCGGGAUGGCAGGGCCAGGACAGGCUCCUGCCUGCAGCAGAGCCCAGCACUGGGGCAGAGCCCGGCGCUGGGGUCACUGCUGUGGAUAAAGGUUAUCAUGGGGAUUCCCGGUUGAGAGCAGCAGUAAAGAAUCUGCCUCUGUGCAGUCCUGGAUCUCCCUUCCAUCCUUCAGUCCUUGUGCUGUCCUCCUUGGAGUGUUGCCAAAUCUGGAUCCUGCUCCUGCUUUGGCUGUGGGUGGAGCUGGAGUGGCUCUUCGGUAAACAGAAUUAAAGGCAAAUGUGGGAGGUUCCUGAAGUCACCUGUGGCCUGCCUCCUCCCAUUCCUGGACCCGGGCUCCCUGCUAGACCCUUUAAAUUGCCAGCUGGUGCAGCCCUGGACACAGACUUCAUCAGCAUGGCACCAAGCGUCCUCCUGCUGGGGCUCCUCUCCCUGUGGGCACAGCUGCAGGCAGCACCCGUUGCAGAGUUCCAUGGAGUAGCUCCAGCUGGGUGGCCACCACCAGGACAUCUGGGAAGCACCCUGAGCCUUGAGCCUGGGGAAAAGCCCAGCACAGUGCCUGACAGCAAUGGUGGUGAUGGUGACAGUGACAACAACAGCUCCAAUAGCAAUGUAACGGGUGACUCCAAUAGCCAUAAAAAUGGUGAGUCCAAUAGCAGUGAAACUGGUGAUGAUGGCCACAAUGCCAAUGACCAUGAUGGUGAUGAUGGUAAUAGAAAUCAGCUUUGUGAUUGCAAUGAUCAUGAUCAUGGUGACAACCACAGUGAUGAUGGUAAUGAUGGUGUCAAGAGUGACCAUUCUAAUAGCAAGGAAGAUGGUGAUAAAAAUGACCUUUCCAAUGGCAAGGACAAUGACAAUGGUAAGGGUGACAAUGACGGUGAUGGUGAUGAUGGUGACAACGGUGACAAUUCCAAUAACGAUGAAGAUGGUGAUGAUGGUGUUAAAAAUGACCUUUCUGAUGGCAAGGACAAUGACAGUGACGAUGGUGAUGAUGACAGUGAUGAUGGUGAUGAUGGCAAUGAUGAUGGUGAUGAUGGCAAUGAUGAUGGUGAUGAUUUCAUCAGUGAUGAAAAUUCCAAUAGCAAUGAAGAUGGUGAUGAUGGCAUCAGUGAUGAAAAUUCCAAUAGCAACGAAGAUGGUGAUGAUGACAUCAACAGUGACAGUUCCAAUAGCAGUGAAGAUGGUGACUCCAAUGACAAUGAAUAUGAUUACUCCAAUAGCAAUGAAAAUGGUGCUGAUUAUGGGGGGUGGAGAUUUUAGCUUGUAAGGGUGUAAUUGCCCUGGGAUUUUCAGAGAUUUUUGGGUUCCUCUUUUGUGGCAUCCAGAUUUUGUGGCUACCAGAUUUCAUGCUUGAUCUGCGCCAAUAAAUGUAUCUAGUGAACAUGAGAGCUUAGUGUC
rnacentral:lncRNA from 1 species